AGUGAACGCUGGCGGUAGGCCUAACACAUGCAAGUCGAACGGCAGCACAGGAGAGCUUGCUCUCUGGGUGGCGAGUGGCGGACGGGUGAGGAAUACAUCGGAAUCUACUUUUUCGUGGGGGAUAACGUAGGGAAACUUACGCUAAUACCGCAUACGACCUACGGGUGAAAGCAGGGGAUCUUCGGACCUUGCGCGAUUGAAUGAGCCGAUGUCGGACUAGCUAGUUGGCGGGGUAAAGGCCCGCCAAGGCGACGAUCCGUAGCUGGUCUGAGAGGAUGAUCAGCCACACUGGAACUGAGACACGGUCCAGACUCCUACGGGAGGCAGCAGUGGGGAAUAUUGGACAAUGGGCGCAAGCCUGAUCCAGCCAUACCGCGUGGGUGAAGAAGGCCUUCGGGUUGUAAAGCCCUUUUGUUGGGAAAGAAAUCCAGCUGGUUAAUACCCGGUUGGGAUGACGGUACCCAAAGAAUAAGCACCGGCUAACUUCGUGCCAGCCGCCGCGGUAA
rnacentral:rRNA from 1 species